GGAAUAUUGGACAAUGGGCGCAAGCCUGAUCCAGCCAUGCCGCGUGUGUGAAGAAGGCCUUCGGGUUGUAAAGCACUUUCAGCGGGGAGGAAGGGGUUGUUGUUAAUAGCAACAAUCUUUGACGUUACCCGCAGAAGCAGCCCCGGCUACCUCCGUGCCAGCAGCCGCGGUAAUACGGAGGGUGCAAGCGUUAAUCGGAAUUACUGGGCGUAAAGCGCACGUAGGCGGUAUGUUAAGUUGGAUGUGAAAGCCCCGGGCUCAACCUGGGAAUUGCAUCCAAAACUGGCCGACUAGAGUACAGUAGAGGGUGGUGGAAUUUCCUGUGUAGCGGUGAAAUGCGUAGAUAUAGGAAGGAACACCAGUGGCGAAGGCGACCACCUGGACUGAUACUGACACUGAGGUGCGAAAGCGUGGGGAGCAAAC
rnacentral:rRNA from 1 species